GGAAUUCGGUGAGUACCGAGUGCAUGUAUUUUGAAUAAAAUUAUUGAAAUAUAUAUUUUUUUUAAUGACAUUCUACUGACUGACUUAGUGUUGCAUCACACUUUACACACAGAAGUUUAUGACACAGUGCCGGAUGCAUAUUAAGGUUCUGAUUGGACAAAUAUUGUGCCUUGACGCUAACCGCGUAGGAACCUUAUACGUUUGACUUUCUGCUAAACACAAAUUAGAAUUUUGUUACCAACCAAUACAAAAAUCACUUUAUGUUGUUCAUAAGGUGAAAGUAAAAAUUGUGCACAAUGCUGAUCUAAAUUAUGCGACUGGUGUUUGCACGACAGGAAGUGAUGAUGAAAAAUGCAGCAACGACUUCACCGAGUUGAACGCGAUUACAUCAGGGAAGGCGACUCUUUCUUUUCUUUUUUUUUUUCUUUUUUUGGUGAGUUAUGCAUUUUUAAAGAGAGAAAAAGGAGACACAUCUGUGGAAUUUAUGGUUAUUCUUUUAUAUUAAGAAAAUGUGAAACAUUUAUUCUGCCUUUAUCUUAGCAAAGAGAUGCAUUUCUGUUUUCUCAGGCAGAGACACUAACUAUUUUAAUUUGUAGUAUAGUUAUGUUUUGCGCUACCCGAGUGCUAACAUUUGCAGAUAGGAAUUCCUCAAAAAGAAUUAGCAACUGUUAGCACUGGUGCCUUACAGGAAGAAGUUUUAUCCAGAGACGUUGCUGCAGAUUUCUAACCCUUUACAGGUUAGAUUAAAAUCUGAGAUUGUUUAGAUUUUAAUAAAAUUGUGUUUUUAACUGGGGAUCAGAGAGAGAGCCAUAGUGCAGCUUUCUGUUGCGUGGCAAUAUCUGAUCUCAUGUGAAAGAAUGCCUGAUCUUGGGCACAUCUGCUCCUCAUCAGGCUUGCCACAGUUCAUAACAAGACAAUUCAAAGCGGAGCUAAGUCUCUCUGGUGCGAUGUUCUGUCGGAGCACGGCUCCUCCUCUGCAUUAUCCAGCAGCCCCUUUUGUCUCCCUGCAUUAAGAUUUAAUAACCUGAAUGUCAGCGUGCAGAUCAGCAGUAAUACCAGCCGACGCUAUGAUAACGCCAACACGCCAUUGUGGUGUUUGCGGUACGUCCAGAAAUCCUUCCCCAAAUCUGUUUAACAGAAACACAAGGCACUUUCACUCGUCUACAUACAGCGGCCGCACGGCCUUGGGCCUGACAAGCGGGCUGCAUAAAUAUUCUAUACCCUUGAUGUGAGGCUUCAUUUUCACUAACCACUUUGCAAAGACAUUUAACCAGUUACACUAGUUGUAAUACUCUGCUGUACAAGCUCAAAAGGACAAAGUAGCUGAGUUUGCCAACUAGUGCAACUUUUAUCUGCUAGCUUACCAACAUCUAGCAAAGGCCUGCUAGAUGGACGAAGCGGCACACAAUGCAAUGGUAUGACAAUUACCACAAGUCUAGUGAGACAGUUGGCAUUCAGGGCCUUCACAUUAACUAUCCAUCCAUUCAUUGUAUGUAGCUGUUUGUCCUUGUUGGGUCUGGGGUUUAACUUCAGCUUUCAUUGGGUGAGAAGUGGGGAACAUGUUGUGUACUCUAACAUAUUACUAGACUUGGAUUAAAGUGGUUGACAAAUAGACCCUAAAAUCCAGUGAUUUGGUGGAUGGGCUUGUCAAAGUUUAUUUUAGCUGCAUUAUUAAAGCUGUUGAACAACAGCUUUAAUAAUGCUUUAAUAAACCCAACUAGUUAACUAGUGAAGAUUUAGGAACCUACUUACACAUUGUCAAUUUAUAUUAAAAAGUCUAUGUUGUAAUUUCUAAGAAAAAACGCAAACUUACUAUCUUUGGACUUCCUUUCUCCUUUAAAUGUUCUCUGCAAACCCUCAAGAUGGCUGAGUAACAAUCACAGCAGAAUUAAAAUUUUUGACCAACCAGUCUUCCACAAACAACCACACCAAGUUCAGAGUCACUUAAAACCAACGUCUUUCCCAUUUCUGAUGCUCCCAACUUAAGCAGGUCGAUGGGUGUAACUAGUAAGUAGCCAGUGAGCAUAAUUCAUCACAAAGCCUACUAGUUGGGAUUAUGUUAGCCUGAUAAAAACAAUGCCCUUGUUCUACGCUUUACUUCAUACAAAGGCAAGGCUGUUUGCUUGCUGGAGGUGUGAACUUUGUUGGAGUUUAAAAUUUUAUCCAAUUGCUAAAGUUUUGCUGUGAUGUAACGCAUCUAUUUGACGCUAUGAAACUUACCAGAAACUACCUGCACUGCAAACAACCAUCCCUCACUGCGGAGAUUUAAGAUAGCUGUUAAUAUUAAUUCAAUAUUAGAAAGCGCAGCCAUCCUGCACCGAAUGGCUUUGUUUCAUUUCUACCUCUGCCAAAAUGAAACCAUGGCAGACUACAAUUCUGAAACGGCACCGAAAAAUUUAUGUCAUUGUUCACAAUUCCUCUUUCUGUUCGCUGAAUGGCCCGGUGGAAAUUCUACCAGGCAAAUUGAGCUCAGUGGGAGAAAGCCCAGACAAAGCACCGAGUGUAGAUGAGAAUCGAGCCGAAUCGUAGGGCUAGACUUUUGUGCUACUACAUAGACUCUAGCUUAGCAUUAGGACUUCUGUUCCUACUAGCUGGACACCAAUCCACCAGUUAGCAAAGUGUUGUGUCUAAACUGGUACAGAAGUGGUAUUAUAAAUGUAAAACUAGUGGAAUGUAGUCGGAAAUUAAAAGCGAUGGCCAUCAGUGGUAUUUUUACAACCCGUAGCUAAUGUUUCUGUUGUCUCAAGCUUUGAAUGCUACUUUCAUUUUGCAUUCAGAAUUGUGGCAGAUUAAUAAAUCCACUUAAUUAUGGACAAACACACAAGAGCUCUCCAUUUGGCAUCAAUUUAUUGGACGCUUGGGAAUGAGGAAUAAUCGAUAAGCAUUUUGCAAAAGAUAGAUAGUUCUACUGUAAUUUUUCUCUGGUUAAAAGACUAAAAUCAUGUUAGAGGCAGGAAGAUUUUCAUUAGCUUAAUACACAUAGGCACAACUUUCAAGUCUCUAAUGAGGAGGAUACAGAUGACUCCGUACAGUCGGACCCUAAUACAAACACUUCUCCGAAACAUCACUGGAAUGCUGAGGUAAAAGCACAUGGACAUGACAAGGUCAAUCUGUAGCUCUGUGUCCGGGUUAAAUCAACCUAUACAAGCUGGAACAGGUUAACAGGUUUGACUGGUCUUAUUUACAGAUU